rnacentral:tRNA from 1 species
GCCCAACUGCUCAGUCAGUAGAGCAUGUGACUCUUGAUCUCAGGGGUAUGAGUUCAAGCCCCGUGUUGGGUG